UAAGAACCCAGGUGUGGGCCAAGCACUGUUCAUAGUUUCAGUUUUGGCAGCAGCAUCCAGUGUCCUGUUGGCAACUCCUAGGAAGGCAGGGGUUGUGAACUAGGCAGCAGGCUGUUCCCCUGAAACGGACUCGACAGGAGAGAAGGAAGUAUCUAAAGCAUCCAAGCAAGAAAUUGGCCUGGGCCCCACAGCCCAGAGGGAGCCACCAACCAUGACGCUCUUCUUCUUCGCCUGUCUGCUGGCUGUCCUCCCAGUGGUCUCCAUGAAGAGCCCCAUCUUCGGUCCCCAGGAGGUGAGCAAAGUAGAAGGCAGCUCAGUGUCCAUCAAAUGCUUCUACCCAGCCACCUCCGUCAACCGACAUUCCAGGAAGUACUGGUGCAAGCAGGGAGCCAGGGGCCGUUGCACUACCCUCAUCUCGGACACCUACUUCUCCAAGGACUAUGAGGGCAGAGCCAACAUCACCGAUUUCCCAGAGAGCAACAUGUUCAUGGUAGACAUUGGCCAUCUCACCCAGGAUGACUCUGGGCAAUACAAGUGUGGUGUAGGCAUUGUUAACCAAGACCUGUUCUUUAAUGUGAACCUGGAGGUCAUCCCAGGUCCUGGGCUCCAUAAUGGCGUUCACUUCCAUAUAGCAGACCUGGGCAGUACAGUGAGCAUCACCUGCCCUUUCACAUCUGAGAAUUCUAUGCAGAAGAAGUCUGUGUACAAGAAGAUAGGCGAGAACUAUGACCUAGUCGUCGACACCAGUGGGUAUGAGAACUCCGACUACAGAAACAGAGUUUCUAUCACUCUUCAGGGCACCAGCGAACUGUGGUUCAACUUCAUCAUCAAACAACUCAAGCUCAGCGAUGCCGGGAAGUAUGUCUGCCAGGCUGGGGAUGAUUCUACAGGUGACAAAAGCAAUGUUGACCUCAAAGUGCUGAAGCCUGAGCCUGAGCUACUUUAUGGAGACCUGGGGGGCUCAGUGGCCUUUCACUGUGCCCUGGACCCCGAGUUGAAAAAUCUGCCCAAAUUUCUGUGCCGGGUGAGCAAAGAUAAAACCUGUGAAGUGGUCAUCAACACCCUGGGGAAGAGGGCUCAGGCCUUUGAGGGAAGGAUCCUGAUUACUCUCAAGGAUCAGGGCUUCUUCAAUGUGCAUAUUACUGGCCUGAGGAAAGAGGAUGCAGGGAGCUACUUCUGUGGAGCCCACUCUGAUGGGGAGCCUCAGGAAGGCUUGCCCAUGAAGGCUUGGCAACUCUUCGUUAAUGAAGAGACCACGAUGCCACGUAGUGUCUCUGUGAUGAAAGGUGUGGUAGGAGGCUCUGUGGCCAUGCUCUGCCCCUACCACCCUAAGGAUAAAAAUAGCCGGAAGUUCUGGUGUCGCUGGAAUGAGCAAAACAGUGGCUGCCCACAGCUGGUGAGCAGUGAGGGGCUGGUUAAGGACCAGAGCAAACCCUACGAGGGCAGGCUCGCCCUUUCCGAAGAGCCAGGCAAUGGCACCUACACGGUCAUACUCAACCAGCUCACCACCAAGGAUGCUGGCUUCUACUGGUGUCUGACCUCCGGUGAUACUCACUGGUGGUUCACAGUGGAGCUCAAGAUUGUGGAAGGAGAGCCAAACCUCAAGGCACCUGAGAAAGCCAUUGCUUUCAUUGGAGAGACUCUCACGGUGCCCUGCCACUCACCAUGCAAGUUCUUCUCCUAUGAGAAAUACUGGUGCAAGUGGAGCAGCAAAGGUUGCAAGGUCCUGCCCAGCCAAAACGAGGCCUCCAGGCAGGCCUCUGUGAACUGCGACCAGAACAACCAGCUCACCUCCCUGAUCCUGAACCAACCCACCAAGAAUGAUGAGGGCUGGUACUGGUGUGGGGUGAAGGAUGGGCCCCGAUUCGGAGACACCGUGGCUGUCUACGUGAAGGUCAAGGAGAAGGAGAAGGCAUCCCAAGAUGUCAGCCAAGUGAACGCGGAGGCUCCUGGCAAUGAGGUGAUUGAGCCACCUGUCCAGGUGAUAGAGCCACGUCUCAAGGAGGUCGAGAACAAAGUCGCUCGAGAUCCCAGCCUUUUUGCAGAGGACAAACUGGUGAAGGAUAAUGGAGACCCAGAGGACAGGAGCAAAGCAUCUGCAGACGCUGGCAGCUCUGCGGGACAAGGAGGAAGCUCCGCAGUGCUGGUCUCCACGCUGGUGCCCCUGGCCCUGGUGCUAGCCCUGGGGGCCGUGGCAGUGGCUGUGGUUAGAGCCAGGCAUAGGAGGAACGUUGAUCGCGUUUCAAUUGGAAGCUACAGGACAGACUUCAGCAUGACGGACUUGGAGAACUCCAGGGAUUUUGGAGCCAAUGACAACAUGGGAGCCUCUACCAUCACCCAGGAGACAUCUCUCGGAGGAGAAGAUGAGUUCCCGGCCACCACCGAGGACACUGUGGAGAGUGAAGAGCCCAAGAAGGCCAAGAGGUCCUCCAAGGAGGAAGCUGACAUGGCCCACACUGCCUUCCUGCUCCAGGCCAACAACAUGUCGACCACCGUCCAAGAUGGCCCCAGCGAAGUCUAGGCCAAGUGCCCUGCCUCCUCCUUCCAACUUUGACAAUCACCUUCAGAAUCAUGUUAAUCCUUAGGGCCCUCAGCUCUGGGGGGCUCACUGCCUGCAUGCAACCUCACCUAGGCUUUUCCUACCUAGUCCUUUUUCAGUGGCAUCCAAUCCUGGCUUCAUUGUUCGUGUUGGGGGUGAGAUGAUCCGAGGAGUCCCUACCUGAGGGAACUUCUUUCUAAUGAGACAACUAAGGUGUGGAAGGAGAACAAAAUUUUAAUAAAGGCCUCCUCAAAAAAAAAAAAAAAAAAAAAAAAGCUCAUGAUGUGUGGGAGGUAAUUUUGAAAAGGAAGGCCAUUCAGGGCUUCUCUGUAUCCUUAUUAUGGAAUGUCAAUGGGAUUCUCCUCUUCACUCCACCCCACCAUCUCUUAUCCCCUCCCUCCCAUCCAUUCUCUCUUCUUCUUUCCUUCAUUGAAAAUACAUAUAUGAACUCUGGCCAGGUAUCAGUUGAUUAGAGCAUCAUUCUGAUACAACAAGGUUGCAGGUUCCAUCCCUAGACAGGACACAUAUAGGAUGCAAUCAAUGGAUGCAUAAAUAAGUGGAACAAUAAAUCUAUGUUUCUCUCAAAUUGAUCAAUCAAUAAAAUUUAAAAAACACACCACACAUAUAUGUUAAUCCUCACCAGAACCCAGGCAUCUAGCGGAAUGAACAAGGAUACUGCACACCCAGCCUGCAGCCUUUGUGUAAACAUCAAUGAGUCCUUGGAGGCCACAGCUUCUCUUGGUUUAUUGUACACACUAUGACCUGAAAUCCUCAUCAGGUAUACUCACUUCUCUGACCACAUUGGGAGAAAUCAGAAAAUGUCUGGAGUCCUGAGGCUUUAGGGAUCAUGUAACAUGGGCAUAUAUACAAGUAAUCUUAAAUACACAUUCUUACAGGGUAGAAAAUUAAAGAGGUUUGCUCAGGGGCACCAAAUGAGUUACACUGAUUUGGUGACUCCUGUUUUCUUGGCCAGGGAUCUCUCUACAAGAACCCCUGCUCUCCUGAUGAAAACAGGAAUCUAGAACAAGCAGAAGGGAGUGAAGGGGUAGAGGAAGACAAAAUUGCAAAUGGAAGCUGGUCUUUCCCAAGCCCCACCUCUGGAAAGACAACCAGUUCCCUUUCUGACACUCACAUGAACCUAAGAGGAUAAGAGAAUGGUCCAACACUCACAGCCCCUAUAUUAGAAGAGCAUCAAAUGGAAGGGAAGAUAAGAGGGUAUUUUGUGGUGCCAAGGGAGGAUCUGAUCUCCAAAGAGCUAAAGUUUAAGGUCUUUUUCCCUCUGAGCUCUGCACCUCAACCAGCUGACACUUGCUAACAAAGAAAAAUGUGACUGAAUUAAUAAUUAAAGACCAUGAUUUCCACCAAA